GAACUGAUUAGAAGCUUGCUUCUAUGACGUUAGCGGCGGACGGGUGAGUAACACGUGGGCAACCUGCCUGUAAGACUGGGAUAACUUCGGGAAACCGAAGCUAAUACCGGAUAGGAUCUUCUCCUUCAUGGGAGAUGAUUGAAAGAUGGUUUCGGCUAUCACUUACAGAUGGGCCCGCGGUGCAUUAGCUAGUUGGUGAGGUAACGGCUCACCAAGGCAACGAUGCAUAGCCGACCUGAGAGGGUGAUCGGCCACACUGGGACUGAGACACGGCCCAGACUCCUACGGGAGGCAGCAGUAGGGAAUCUUCCGCAAUGGACGAAAGUCUGACGGAGCAACGCCGCGUGAGUGAUGAAGGCUUUCGGGUCGUAAAACUCUGUUGUUAGGGAAGAACAAGUACGAGAGUAACUGCUCGUACCUUGACGGUACCUAACCAGAAAGCCACGGCUAACUACGUGCCAGCAGCCGCGGUA
rnacentral:rRNA from 1 species